AUUGAACGCGUGGCGGCGUGCUUAACACAUGCAAGUCGAUCGGUAACAGGUGUAGCAAUACAUGCUGACGAGAGGCGGACGGGUGAGUAAUGCUUGGGAAUCUGCCUAUUAGUGGGGGACAACCCGGGGAAACUCGGGCUAAUACCGCAUACGCUCUACGGAGGAAAGCCGGGGACCGCAAGGCCUGGCGCUAAUAGGAUGAGCCCAAGUCGGAUUAGCUAGUUGGAGGUAACGGCCUACAAGGCGACAAUCCGUAGCUGGUCUGAGAGGACGACCAGCCACACCGGAACUGAGACACGGUCCGGACUCCUACGGGAGGCAGC
rnacentral:rRNA from 1 species